UAAUACUAAUUAUUAUAUAUCUACUUUUUUCACUAAUUCUUUUGAGGAUAAGCUCAAAGAGAAAGUUAAGAUAUUUAUGAUUAUAAGCCGCCGUGUGGGCUUAAAAUUGGCCACCACAAAAGUUUGUUAUAAAAUAACGGUUUCAACUCAAAAAAUAAAUAUAUUUUAAUCUAACUUCUUACGGAAAUAAAAUCUUUAACUAAAGUAAGUUUUAUACCUAUGCUAGAAUGAGUAUUAUAAACUAACAUUAAACAUGAAAAUAUUUCUUCAGUAAAAAUUAUUCAAACAAACUAAUUAAUUAAAAGGAACUCGGCAAAAUUAGUUGCUUCGCCUGUUUAUCAAAAACAUGGCUCUCUGCUUAUGUAAAUAUAGAGAGUCGAGCCUGCCCAGUGAAUUUUCAACGGCCGCGGUACUCUGACCGUGCAAAGGUAGCAUAAUCAUUUGCCUUAUAAUUGAAGGCUAGUAUGAAUGGUUUGACGAGAGCAACGCUGUCUCUUUUUUAUUUUCAAGAACUUAACUUUUAGGUGAAGAGGCCUAAAUUUUAUUGAAGGACAAGAAGACCCUGUCGAGCUUAAAAGAUAUUAUAGAAGUGCAUAUAUUUUUAAAUAAAUUUUCUAUUCAGCUUUUUAGUUGGGGCGACUAAGGAACAAAAAGAGCUUCUUAUUAAUAAUAAACACUCAUGUUUAGAUCCGGCAAUAACCGAUCAAAGGAAUUAGUUACCGCAGGGAUAACAGCAUAAUCUCUCUUGAGAGACCUAAUCGAAAGAGGGGGUUGUGACCUCGAUGUUGGACUAGAA
rnacentral:rRNA from 1 species